CCAAUACCAAGCAUAUGGUCGAUAUUUCCUCACAAAAUUAACAUCGGCACACUGUCCCGCCGCAACGAAAAUGACAACUUUGACCACAUAUCCCAUCGUCAAAACCCUUUUUACUACUGUAGUAUUGUUUUGAUCAUAUGCGCUCGCUCAGUUGUUUCGGUUACUCCUAGCUAAUUCGGUGUUUUUUUCGGUUUCCUUUAAUUGAUGUGCAUGGCCCUGCUAUGAAACUUGACCGACAAACUGCAUUCCUUCCGCGUUAUUUAUCCCACGAGACAAACUUACAUAAAAUUACAGAGCAUUUACUUAUUCCACGACAAACUUGCUGCUUCAUUGAACUCGGACUCAAACCAGCAUGACGAACGCGUGUGAUUCAGCUCAGUACUCCGGCAUGGGGCACUCGGUGGCCGGGCCGCGGUUGGGGUGGAGCACGCAGCCCUUGCCGUCCAUGGGCGCGCACUGGCAGUCGCACCCGUCGAGCAUCUGCCCGGGGUAGUUGUCGCAGGUGAUGUGCCCUCCCUGGACGCACACCACGCCGCAGGUCGCCUUGGCGUCGCCCGACACCGCGAGCCCUGCUCGAUUCACGACAAAGAAAGCGCAUCACACAUGUGUACGUACUACAGUACAUAGUUAAAGCAUAAGGACGCGGCUGGGGACGUACCGGAGACGAGGAGGAGGAAGGUGAUGAUCGUCAGCUUCAUGGUGGCGGCCAUGAUUAUAUGUGUGCUGCGUUUGUUUGCGCCGUGCGAUCUGCGUUUGGAGCGCGGCGCCGGCGCGUUUAUAUAGGGAAGCUGUGGAUGUACGUACGGCUUUGGUUCAACCAAAUUGCAUGCGUACGUAGGUUUACUAAUAGAGACUUGAGGCAACAUCACGUGGCGCGCGGUACUGAUGUACGUACUCCGGUGCGUACGUGCUUGCGUCGACAACAGCUUCGCGGAUUUCAGAAGUCAGAACCAUGGCCAGGCUUCGCGUUGAUCUCAGCAUGCUUUGUCCGGCCGAUCGAGGGCGGACUUGGUCGCGCGCCUCCUCUGACUUAAAGCAAACAUCAUGUGGUUGCCGUGCUGGAUGGAUCGUGUGCAUCUUGGAUGCGGAUCGGGUUGACCGCUCAAAAGUCUCGUCGUGGAGUUCACCACAGCGUGGGAGCAGGAUGAGCUCUAAAGUUAGCAACGACUUUCGUGGUUCGGAUUUUUGUUGACCUUCUUUACUUUGACCUUGGAAAAGUUAUCCUGCAUUCAACAUUUUACUCUCGAUCACUUUCUAUAUUUCUAGUGUUGUUUAUCGAGGUCCGUUGACCAUCAGGCAUACCAGAUUACUCCUCGGAGUUGAAAUACUCCCUCCUUUUCGGUUUAUAGGGCUUAAAUCUGAAAUCUCAUCAACCUUCUAGAAGGGUUUUUUAUUUGGGUUCAUAUUUUUUUGUGUGUUUCGCCAAAAAAAAAAUCGUUUUUUCGUUUUUCACUUCUCCUUUGUUCCUUUUUCCCCUAUUCAUUUUAUCAUUCUUUUCCUUUUUCCUUUUCUAUUUUAAUUUGUAUGGACAUCUUUCGAUCGCUUUUUGAAAUCACAAACAAUGUCAUAUUCCGAACCUUUUGUUAUUUCAUAAACACUUUUAAAAUCCAUGGAAUUAUUUUCCUAAUUAUGAACUGCUCUGAAAUUCAUGAUUUUUUGUCAUCUUUGAACUUUUUUAAAAUCUGUGAAGAUUUUUCCAGUUCCUGAUACUUUUUUCCAAAUAAAGAACUUAAAUUUCAUGAAAACAAAUUCGAGUUCAUGAACAGUUAUUUAACUUUGCUAGCUUUUAAAAAUUUACAAAGUUUUAAAAAAGUCAACUGGUCAACUAUGAGAGCGAGUAGCCCGACGCGCACAAGGGCAUGAAAGGUUGUUAUUGGACCGGCCCAUGUGACAUGGCUCGUGAGCCCAACUACAACAAUGGUGCACAAGGCGUUGAAUAGCAGUCCCUCUAUCCCUUCUAUCUCGCGUAAGCAACUAAUCAAAGAGCGCUCCUUCAAAAGCCUCUCCAACUACAAUAACGGGUACGGAUUUGCUUUCGCGAGGGACAUGGGUGUGCCUCCAAAAAGAGAAAAACAUGUUCCCGGUUAAUGUUUAACAUGUGAUCUAGUUUUGAAGAUCUCAACGUGGGGAACCCAAUGAUGAAAUAACUUGAACGCACGGUUUGAUAUAUAUAUAUAUAUAUAUAUAUAUAUAUAUACAUAUAUAUAUAUAUAUAUAUAUAUAUACAUACAUAUAUAUAUAUAUAUAAACAAAGCUAUGAAAAAGGAAAAACUCCCAGGUUGCGAUAAAUGGCGUACAUGCAGUGCGACACUUGUCGCAACCAGGAAAAAUAGAAAUGACCUUUGUAAAUUGUGCUCUUUAACUAAUGAUUUCGCUCUCUUGCAGUUGGUGUUUAUAAUUUUGAGGAUGGGUCGCUGGUUGUCCUUGCACACACGAGCUGGACGGGUAGCUCGUAACAGGUUCCCUUGGUCUUUGCAUGGUGGGGUUGCUUUCUCAGGGAUGCUGACAUCGCCCCCUUCUUGCAAUGAGGAUUUCCCCAAGCCUCGGUAGCUCCGGAGCAGGUGUGGAGCUCGACUUUUGUCUUUUCAUGAUUUCAUGGACAAAUAGAAUGUUAGUUUUAGAGGUUAUCAUUGGAGAUGCCCUGAUGUUACAUUCAUGAACGUUUUAUUUACAUAGGAGUUUGUCCCAAUCCAACUUGACCCAGAGUUAGUGCAAUGUUCGACCAUGUGCCCUCGCUUAGUUGUUUCAAACUGAGUUCAUUGACCCUUUAAAUUUUGUGAAAACCUAGGGUUAGUGUGAUGUUCUCAUCAUGUGCGCUCGCUCAUUUGUUACACAAACUUUUAAAAUUUUGUGAACAAAAAUGGAGUUCUGAUCAUUUUUUAGUUUUGCUAUGUUUUAAAAAUAGAUAAUCUUUUUACAAUCGUUUUUAACCGCGGGCGAUUUAAGUUGCGACAUGAGAUUAAACGCUGGGAUUUUUUUUUGCAAAUAAAACGGUGACAAUUUACAUUUGUUUUUGCCUCGAAAGUUACUUGUUUCCACAAACUGCCACGUGUCUGAAGGAAAUGGCAUGCGUCUCUGAAGGAGUGGCCAACAAAAACGUUUGUAAAUGUCAUCCCUCACAGCGAACGUUCGCCAGCCAUUGGGGGUCCAAAAACUGAGCUAGUUCGGUGUUUUUUCAGUUAUUUAUUUCCUUCUAAUGCUUUUUUUCCAGUGCUUAGCCCUGCUGCAAAACUUGAUCAACGGAUUCCAUUCCAUUGCAUUCAUUCCACGACAGAAGCUUACAUUUCAUUCGUUACUUAUUAUUCCAUGUACGAAACAGGUGAGCGGAGGUGAAGGUGUCGAACGCGCGUGAUCCGAUUCAGUGCCUGGUGCACCUGUUGGUGGAGCCGCUGUUGAGGUGGAGCACGCAGCCCCUGCCGUCCUUCGGAGCGCACACGCAGGCGCACCCGUCGAGCUUCUCGCCGGGGUAGUUCUUGCAGGUGAUGUACCCUCCCUGGAUGCACCGGACGGUGUCGCAGGUCGCCUGGGCGUCCCCGAACACCACGAGCGCUGCUCGAUCCGGAGCGCACAAAUUAUAAAGCGUCAGAGAGCUUGCUGUUUGCCAUACGAGCGCGCGCCGUUGGAGCAUUAGGAUACGGAAUUAAGGAAUGUAUAAGGAUGGACUUACCGGAGAUGAGGAGGACGAAGGUGAGCGACAGCUUCAUGGUGGCGGCCAUGCUCGUGCUUUCGUGCCUGCGCGUCGUGCGGUCUGUGGUUGCAGCGCGGUGCCGGUGCGUUUAUGUAGGGAGGCUGCUUCAGUUGAGCUCAGCCAAACUCCAUGCUGGAUCCGCCGCCCUCUCUGACUUUGUGCCGCCGUUCACGAGAGGUUUGAAGCGAGAUCACAUGCCAGGCGACACUGAUGUGCUCCAAUACGUACGUACGUGCUUGCGUCGACGCCCGCUUCGUGCAUUUCGGAACUAUGGCCACAUUGCCAGAUCCGGCCGAUCGAGGGCAGAAAGUCAGAGGAGGCUGCCGACUUGGUCGCGCCCAUCUUGUAUGUGAGGUGUAGCGGUGCUGGAUGGAUCUCCGUACAUAAUGAAACCCGUACAUAUUUAUCUUUGUUGUAUUUGAAUCAAAUAUUUAUCUUUUUUGUGUAGCAUCCAAAUAACCAAGUUACCUAAUGAAACUUUUUACAUACUUGACUAUCAUGUAUAUGUAGUUAUCAAAAAAGGAACGCUACGACGUCCGCUGGUCGACGUGUAUUAUACAUCCUCCGCCAUCGUUAGAUCUACACGUGCAACCAUCCGAUUGAUCUCCUGUCACGCCUCACUUGUCUCGCAACAACGGCUUUGUUGCAGAAAUAACUGAUUUGUCUCGGCUGCUACGCGUCGAUCGGCCGAGCCGCUAUUCGCCAGAAGUGACAUCAUCAAGUGACAGACGAGCAAAUAAGUUUUUGCACUAUAGAUUAUGUUGCAGAAUUUUUUGUAAUAGAGGUCAUGUUACGAAAACGUUUGUAGAUUUUUUUUACAACAAAAAAUGUUACUGUGUAUUUUUUUGCAAUAUAAUUUGUUAUAGAAUAUUUUCUGCAACAAAUAUUGUGUUGCCGAAACACCUGUAUAAUCUUAUAGAAUUUUUUGCAACAUGAUCCUUGUUGCAAAAAAUAUUUUGAAAAACGAUCCUUGUUGCAGAAUUAUUUUGCAAAAAAAUAAGCAUAUGCAUUUAGCAGCUCUAUCCGUCGCUAUCCGUAGCUAUUGCAAUGGAGUCUUUGUUGCAAAAAGAAACGUCAUGCGUGAGUACCGUCAGCAAUUCACGUCAUGUAGCCUGCUCACCAUGACGUGUCCCUCUGCUCCUUCCGAUUUAAUUCACCACCCACGUAGUCACGUGGGGAGCAAAGAAGACGGUGGACACGAGAGCAGGAUCAGCCGGCUGGAAGGUAACGUUUCUCAUAAAAAAUGAUAUUUUUUGAAAAUUUUAAGUAUAUAUUGAAUCUUUUUGGUAAAAUGGGCUCCAUGGAGCCCGGUCUCUGCUAUGCCGCUCCCUUAGCUGACCUCUAUCCUCCUAUAGAAAAGACCUCACAUUUCCUUCUCCCCUCGAAGCCGGUGCCGGUCUGCUUUGUCUUCGAUGGACUAUAGCCAAUGAAGGUGCGAAGGACCUGAGCCCCCCGCCGACGGGAAGGACCCUGCUCUCGGUUUUGUUAGGUUCAACAUCUUGAUUAUAGUUGUAGGGCAUUAAACGGGUCGGUUCUAUGGGCUGGACCCUAGAAGGAAGACUCGGUCUAGAGAGUAGACCCGUCCUGAGAAGACCUGGCCCAGAGAGAAGACUCGGCCUUAGAAGACCUGGCCUAGAGAGAAGACCUGAUCGGGCUUGAUCGUUUUUUAAGAGAAGACCCAGCUUGCUGUUGCUGGCUCAACGAAGCGUACAUAAGAUGAAUACCUCCUAAUUUAGAAAGCACAAAAGACCUACAGGACUUAGAGUAAAACUCUUAUUACGGAUGGGACCUGAAAUCUAUUGUAAACCAGGGACUCAAACUAUUAUAUAAAGGGAGCCCCUGGUCAUCAAAAGGACAAAUUAGAAUCCCACGAGUUAUUGGUAGCAAUUAAGAAAGUUGUAGGCUUUUACCUCCAUCGUGAGGAGUCGAACUUGGAUAAGACUCCGUCUUUUAAUUCCGACCAACCUUGUUCAAGUUACCACCUAACAACAAUGCCUCACAACUAAGUUCUCCCACAAGAAAAUCUUACCAUGACAAAACAAUGACACCUCCAAUUGCGGUUUUGCAACCGUCUGUGCGCCCAAUCGGUCCUACUUGCCCCAAAGUGUCCGUGUUUUUGGACUUAUAUUUUAACCCCAAAAUAACCCAAAUAAACGUUGUAAGUAAUAAUAAAAAACACAAAUAUAAACAUUAAAAUGUUCAAACGUCGAGAGUAGCCAAGUUUAACACAGUUCUUAAACUAAUAAAACUUAAACGACAUGAAAUAAAGUUGAUGGUCCAUCGCCGGUGAGGCCGCCGUCGUCUUUUGGAGCCGCCGUCCUUGUGGUCGUUGUCGUUGGUGAGGUCGAUGUAUGGAGGUGGCUACCAAAGGUGGGGUGGCAGCCCGUGGCAAACCGGAGGCGUUUGCGCUGCGUCACCACCUUCUCUCGUGGCUCUUGUUCGUGCACCAGUGACUGCAGUGGCGUGGACGAUCAUGGACCGACACGCAACAAGUCGGCCAUCUCCGAUGCCGUGAACGGCCAGCUCCACUACUGACCCAUCAAAUGCCGGUCGCUAACGGACAAAUUAUAUGGUUGCCGUCGUGCGUUCGGCCAUAUCGCCUGCCCGUUUGUCUCCUAACGGACAAAUACGAAUAUGAUGGGGUCAUGGGUUGAAGUUGGCUUAACAUACUUAUACCACUCCUAUGUAGACUGUCGUGGUACUUCAUGAAUGCGGAAAGCAGCUGCGGCUUACUGCUUUUCCGUAAUAAGUUAGUUAAUUCAGCAAGAGCGGGACGUGGGUAGGCCAAGGCAAUCUAGCCACUGUGGAUCAACACAUUAUCCUCGGAAAGUUUAUUCGAAGUGUGUAAAGUUGGAUUCUACUGCAUGAGCUCCCACGGUAUCACUUGCAAGGAUUUAUUUGACUCGAACCCAAACCAACUAUUCAGCUAGAACUUCUUUGGCCUCCGGCAGUUGGUCUUGGUGACGCCGUCGUCGAGGUGGAGCACGCAGCCCUUGCCGUCGGCCGGCGCGCACUCGCAGUCGCACCCGUCGAGCUCCUGCCCGGGGUAGUUGUCGCAGGUGAUGUGCCCUCCCUGGAAGCACACCACGGCGCACGGCGCCUUGGCGUCCGCGAUCACCCCGA
rnacentral:lncRNA from 1 species